rnacentral:misc_RNA from 1 species
AACUGAUACUACCUGCGGGAACCUGCGGAGGGAUCAUUACCAGUGCCGCCGGCGCGCGCUUCCCGUCCGGGGGCGCACGCCGGUUUGAGCCCCACCCGUGAACACUAUACCUCCGGUUGCCUCGGCGGGCCGUCACGCCCGCCGGGGGUGAACUGAACUUCGCAAGUGAACGUGGCCGUCUGAGUGGAAUUGUCAAAUUGUUUAAAACUUUCAACAAUGGAUCUCUAGAUCGGAAGAGCA